CAAGGGGCAAACGGGGCAGCUGCCCCGGGCCCAGUUGCUCCCGGGGGGCCCAAAGCAGCUGUCCCGUGGGCCCCCUGCCCGCAGCCAGGACUGAACAGCCCACCGGGAUACUGAGAAAUAUCCCAGUGGGCUGCGGCAAGUGAAGUAAUCAGGGCCCCCCGGCCCUUUAAUUGAGCACCCGAUCGGGCCCCUGUCUGUAUGCCUGCUGGGAGGAAGUGAGGUGAGAUCACUUCCUCCCAAGUAACAGAGUGCCGCUGGGGAGGAGGAGACACACAUGGAAGUGGAGGAGAGGGAGGAUGCACACACAGGAGGAGGAGGUGAAGGAGAGGGACUGAGGUAAACAUGUUCAUCAGACUCCCAUCAACCUCAGCCAUCCAGCUUCCACUGGACCCCAGGGAAGCCACCCUUCUCUAAAGGUAAGGAGACAAGAGGGUGGCUAGACUUAAAUUGAUAUAAAUGUGUGUAUAUCUGACUGUAUGUGUAUAUCUGACUAUGUAUGUGUAUAUCUGACUAUGUAUGUGUAUAUCUGACUGUAUGUGUGUAUCUGACUGUAUGUGUAUAUCUGACUGUGUGUGUGUAUAUCUGACUGUGUGUGUGUAUAUCUGACUGUGUGUGCGUAUCUGACUGUGUGUGUGUAUCUGACUAUGUAUUUGUGUAUCUGACUAUGUAUUUGUGUAUCUGACUAUGUGUGUAUCUGACUAUGUGUGUGUGUGUAUCUGACUAUGUGUGUAUAUCUGACUGUAUGUGUGUAUCUGACUAUGUGUGUAUCUGACUGUAUAUGUGUAUCUGACUGUGUGUGUGUAUCUGACUAUGUAUGUGUGUGUAUCUGACUAUGUAUGUGUGUGUGUAUCUGACUGUAUGUGUGUAUCUGACUAUGCGUGUGUGUCUGACUAUGCGUGUGUAUCUGACUAUGCGUGUGUAUCUGUAUGUGUGUGCGUUUGUAUCUGGCUGUGUGUGUGUAUCUGGCUGUGUUUGUGUCAGUGUAUGUGUACCUUUGUGUCAGUGUUUAUGUGUAUCUAUGUGGAUGUAUACCUGUGUCCGUGUACUUGUGUGUCAGUUUGUAUGUGUACCUGCGUGUCUGUGUAUGUAUGUGAGUGUCAGGUUGUGUAAGUGUGUAUCUAUGCGUGUGGCAAUGCAUACGUUCCAUCAUUCCAGUACCAACACUGCACACAUAUACACUACUACAUUCCAACGCUAACACUGCACACAAAUACACCACUGCAUGUGUAUCUGUGUGUAUCUCAGUGUUUGUGUAAGUGUGCAUCUGUGUGGCAAUGCAUACAUCCAAGCAUUCAUUUGCCAACACUGCACACAAAUACACCCCUGCAUGUGUACCCGUGUGUCUGUGUGCAUCUUAAUGUGUGUCUAUAUCUGUGUCAGUGUGUGUAAGUGUGUAUCUCUGUGUGUGGAUGUGCCAGUGUUUUUAUCUUUGUAUCUGUGUGUGUGUGUGUGUAUGUAUGUAUGUGUCUGUGUGUGUAUACGCCAGUCUGUUUGUAUCAGUCUGUGCAUGUGUCCAGAUGUGUGCAUGUAUCAGUGUGCUAAUGUGUAUGGAUAUCUGUGAAUGUAUGUCAUACAUCCAAGCAAUCAAACACAACAUGCAAACACACCCCUGCAAACACAAACAUUACAUACAAACACGCCCCUGAAUUCAAACUCAAAAAGUAUAUAGAAACACACCCCUUCACUCUAACACCAAUACUACACCGUACAUGCACACACAUACUCUAUACAACAACAUGCUCACAUUCAAAUUUACAAACACUGCUCACAAAUACAGCCCUGCAAGAAUGACCAAAUGGUAGAUCCCCAACUGGCAUAGCAUCGUGGGAAUUGUACAACAGAUGAGGAUCUAUCUUUUCUCCAUUAUUGUGCUAGAUGGGAGGCCCCAAAAAAUGUCUUGCACCUGGGCCUUCUCUACAUUAGUUAUGCCACUGUAUUGGGGUGGAGGGCAUGACUGCAUGCCAGGGGGUGGAAAUGUGUGGAGGGGAAGGGCAGGAUCCAGGGGGCCCAAGCAAAUGCUUGCCCAGGGUCCAAUCAAUGUUAAAGACAGCCCUGGUUGAGUAGAAAAUGUAGUACAAUGGAUAUUGCCAUUUAUCAUAAAUUGUUCACAUAAGUCAAAAUAGAGUGUGAGAGGACACAGAGACCAGAC